CCCCCCCCCCCCCCCCCCCCCCCCCCCCCCCCCCCCCCCCCCCCCCCCCCCCCCCCCCCCCCCCCCCCCCCCCCCAGCCCAUCCUGGGGGCUCCUGUCACCCUAAACCCCUGUCCCUGUCCCACUGCAGCCCAUCGUGGGGGCUCCUGUCACCCUAAAUCCCUGUCUUUGAUCCCACUGCAGCCGGGAUUUCCAUCCUGGACAACUCUGCUCCUAAAUCCCUGAUCCCACUGCAGCCCAUCCUGGGUGCUCUGGUGUCACCCUAAACCCCUGUCCUUGAUCCCACUGCAGCCAGGAUUUCCAUCCUGGUCAACUCUGCUCCUAAAUCCCUGUCCCACUGCAACCCAACCUGGGGGCUCUGGUGUCACCCUAAAUCCCUGUCCCCGAUCCCACUGCAGCCAGGAUUUCCAUCCUGGACAGCUCUGCUCUUGUAUCACCCUAAACCCCUGAUCCCACUGCAGUCGGGAUUCCCACCCUGGGUGUUCCUGUGUCACCCCAAAUCCCUGAUCCCACUGCAGUCGGGAUUCCCACCCGGGGUGUUCCUGUGUCACCCCAAACCCCUCUCCUUGUCCCCCUGCAGCCGGGAUUCCCGUUUCCCUGCCCCCGAGCCCGCUGUCCCCACUCCCAGCCCCCGAGGAAGGGAGGUGGCCCCAGCAGGACCAAGGAAUGUCGCACUCGGUGGCUUUGGUCCCUUAUUCCCGUUUUUCCUGCGGGAACAGCAAAGGCAGAGUCUCCCCCCGGGAUCCCCCCGCUGUCCCCAGGUCCUGCAGAGAUUCCAGCUCCUCCCUCCCUGCUCAGUUCCAGUUUUACCCGACCCUGCCCCACCCUGGGACCUCCUGGACCCGGAGGAGGAAGGGACAGGGAUGUGCUGUGACGUUUUGGUCCAUGACAUCACCCCAAACUGGUCCCAAAAAGCUGCCACCAGCGCUGUGGGGAUGAGAGGUGCAGGGUGGCUCGGGGCGCCACAUGAGCCAGGGAACAAUCAAUCAAUCAAUCAAUCAAUCAAUCAAUCAAUCAAUCAGCCAGGGGACAAUCAAUCAGUCGGGAUGAUUGUGGUGGCAGCGCUGAGCAGCAGCAGGAAAAUUCUGCGUGGGAGGAAAAGGAGAUUCCCAGAGCCCAGCCCAGAGUGAGAUGGAGCUGCAGGGGGCUCAUCCCAGCCCAGUCUGAGGGGCUGGUCCUCUGCUCCAGGGGGCUUCAUCCCAGUUUGGGGGGCUCAUCCCAGUUUGGCUGCUCCAGGGGGGUUCAUCCCAGUUUGGGGGGCUCAUCCCAGUUUGGGGGGGGGCUCAUCCCAGUUCCAGGAGGCUGGUCUCUGCUCCAGGGGUCCUCAUCCCAGUUUGGGGGGCCCAUCCCAAUUACAGGGAUCUCAUCCCAGUUCCAGGGGGGUUCAUCCCAGCCCCCCACCCAGAGAAGCCCCCCCAGGAAAAGCCCCACGGCUGCCCCUUCCCCGGAGGGAUGGGGACACCCAGAGCCACCCCCAGGGCUGCCCCGAGCUCGGAAUGCCCAGCAGGGAGGUUUUCUUGGGGGAUUUUACCUCAACAAAGAUUUUUUUUUUUUCCCCAGCUUUGAGGACUGAAGGGAGCAGAGGUUGAAUGGGCAGGGGAGACUGGAGCAGCUGCAGCAUGAGCCCGAGCUGGAGCUGAGAGGGGCAGGAGGAGCUGCAAAGCCACCCUGAGCCCAGGGAGCUGCAAACCCAUCCCUGAGCCCAGGGCACCCCCAGAUGAGCCCAGGGAGCUGCAAACCCAUCCCUGAGCCCAGGGCACCCCCAGAUGAGCCCAGGGAGCUGCAAACCCAUCCCUGAGCCCAGGGCACCCCCAGAUGAGCCCAGGGAGCUGCAAACCCAUCCCUGAGCCCAGGGCACCCCCAGAUGAGCCCAGGGAGCUGCAAACCCAUCCCUGAGCCCAGGGCACCCCCAGAUGAGCCCAGGGAGCUGCAAACCCAUCCCUGAGCCCAGGGCACCCCCAGAUGAGCCCAGGGAGCUGCAAACCCAUCCCUGAGCCCAGGGCACCCCCAGAUGAGCCCAGGGAGCUGCAAACCCAUCCCUGAGCCCAGGGCACCCCCAGAUGAGCCCAGGGAGCUGCAAACCCAUCCCUGAGCCCAGGGCACCCCCAGAUGAGCCCAGGGAGCUGCAAACCCAUCCCUGAGCCCAGGGCACCCCCAGAUGAGCCCAGGGAGCUGCAAACCCAUCCCUGAGCCCAGGGCACCCCCAGAUGAGCCCAGGGAGCUGCAAACCCAGCCCUGAGCCCAGGGCACCCCCAGAUGAGCCCAGGGCACCCAGGGAUGGGCCUGAGGAGCUGCAAACCCAUCCCUGAGCCCAGGGCACCCCCAGAUGAGCCCAGGGAGCUGCAAACCCACCCCCCCCCCCCCCCCCCCCCCCCCCCCCCCCCCCCCCCCCCCCCCCCCCCCCCCCCCCCCCCCCCCCCCCCCCCCCCCCCCCCCCC
rnacentral:lncRNA from 12 species